GCUACUGCAGCUUUGCUAGAGGAGAAUGCAGGAUACAUCAUUGAAUACAAGCAGUUCAUUUUGAGUAUGCAUCUCCUGUGGUGGCUGCUGCUCUAUCUCUGAAUGGCAGGGCUGGGGAGGCUGUCUAGGACAGGCGGCUGCUGAAGUGUCUGGCUAUAGCGGUGCUGGUCAAGCGGUGUCAAAGGUAACCAUCCCAUCCACACCUGUCACCUGCGUCUCUGUCAGAGUCUCCUGCACUCGUUACAAGGGAGAAAAUGGAUCUUCUUCCGCUGGUAGCUUGCGCAGA